CUGCAGAUGGUGCUGAAGAGCCAGGAGGCCUAGCACCUGCAGCAGCAGGGGCACCAGCUGCUGUCCCAGUGUGGCAGCAUGCUGAGUCCCGGCAGCAGUUGGCCAUGGAGAAGGAGGCCCUGUGUAGGCUCGUUCUUCUGCACAGGCACCUGGUCAUGCAGCUGCAAGACACAGAACAGGAAAAAAUGGUGGCCCUGGACAGGAUCCCAGGAGAUGCAGGUGAUGGAGCUGCUGAGGCGGGCCCUGGAUGGGGUUCCCCGGCUGCCUCUGACUUCGCACUUUCCAUGCUGCCCACAGGAGGACCUGGAAGCCUCCAGGCUGCAGGAGGAGCAAGCGGCCCCGCUGAGAGUCCUGGCCCUGGCUGGGGCAGGGGACAUGGAGGAAAGGCCUGUGGAGGCUCCGGGGUCCAACACCACCAUCCCCGAAGACUCAGGCAGCUCGGAGGCCUUGGAACACCAGGCUCCGCUGCCCAGACGCCUGAGGCAGCAGAAGGGGCAAUGCCAGCGCCUGGCCCAUCUGGCGGCCCUGACCCAGGACACACCUGGGCACGGGGCUCCCACCCCCAGGAGUACGCACGGGAGAGCUGCAGCAGGUGGCGCUGCUGCAGGAGGACGAUGGCAGGUCCUGUCAGGGCCAGUGGGUGGCCGCCGCACAGACCCGUGGUGCUCCAGAGGGGAGCUCUGCUCACCUUGAGGAGCCCCCAGGAGAAGAGCCCCGGCCGGGGUCCUUCCCACAACCCCAGCUGCCUGAGAGUGAGAACCCCAUCAGGGCCCAGGCUUGGGUCUUCAUCCCUUGGUGCCCUGCGUGCGGUUUUGCUACCUUGCUGAGGAAAAGGACACCGCGCAGCUCAGUUUGAUUCCAAGCCUUUCUCCAGCAAAGCCUGGAGAAGCGGGGCCAGGGCUCUGCCCCCACUGUUCCCCAUUCAGUCCCUGCCUCCCUGUCCCUCCUCUCCUCCCACCUCCCUGUUACCCCUAUAGGAGCAAGAAACGCCACAAAUUUCCUUUUCAUUGAAAAUGUUUUAACUGCUGGGCUGGGAAUUCAGCUCAGUGGUUCUGCUGCCUGCCUCCCCAGCUUGGGGACUGAGUUCGAUCUCCUGCACUGUACAGAUAUUCCACAGCAUAAACA
rnacentral:lncRNA from 1 species